UUUCCGUAGGUGAACCAGCGGAAGGAUCAUUAAUGAGUUGUCAAAGGGUUCGCUCCUGCCAGCCAGUUUUUGGAUGCAUGUACUUGCCCUAACAAUCAUCUUCAUCCAAACCCCUGUGCACAUUUUUGAGGGGGUCUUGAGCUGGUCGCCGCUCUUGGGUGAUUUUCUCACAUUCCCUUAAAUCAUUAUACGCCAUUAACAAUGUUGAACUUGCUCUUUGCCGCUAGGCCAAUAAUAUAUUACAACUUUUAACAAUGGAUCUCUUGGCUCUG
rnacentral:misc_RNA from 1 species